rnacentral:lncRNA from 1 species
AUCGUCUUCCACUGUUUUUGGUAGGAUGUGCUUAGGACACCUCUCUUGGGUGGAUGGUGUUUUGCUGAGUUGGGCAGGGACAGGUGAGACACAUCCCAUCACUUUUAUUCCAAGGGCAGAUAACAACUCCCUCAUCUUCUUUCUCUUUAAAUUGGAGAAACUGUAUGGUCCUAGAAUUAAGGAAAAUUUCAGAUAGUGCAAAAGCACUUGGCCCAGCCAGAGGUGACCCGGAAUUAUAUGGACUCCUCCAUUCCCCCUGGGGUCUGGUGAGGGCCAGUGACUAGCCCCAGACCACAGGCAAUUAGGAUAGUGUGACCCUUCUUUCUCUCUUUCUUUCCUCAGCCACUGGGGCCUUGCUUCUACAAGGUGAAGGACAGCUGCUCGACCUGUGGCUGAUUUUGUGUGUGGGAAAUGGCUCUUCCUGGUUCCCACUGGGAUGCGAGGGCUCGUUUGUUUCUGCAGCACAACCAGCCUAACCUGACUGAUACAAGGAUGGACAGUGAACAGUCUGUCUCCCUCAGCCUUCCAGUCCCUCCCAGUGGAAGCUCCAUUGACAGAUCCUUGGGCCACUUUCCUAAAAUCCCCUCUGCUUUUAUGUUAGCAUGGACACCCUGAGACAGCCCAGAUGAGGAAUUCUGGUGGAAGUUGCUGGGUUUUCCCCUUCGGCUUUUGGAACCAGGGCUCUAUCCCUGUGGAUACGGCAGAGAGGAAAACAGACCAUGAGGAGCUGAAGGCUGGGGUCACACAGGCUGGCCAAACCUCAGGUCUUGUCCCCCAUGGACAGCCAGGCCUAUGCCAUCCCUGCUGCCUGGGGGUGGGCAGGACCCUCCUGCAGCCAGGCAGGUGCUUAUGCUCACUGGCCACAGCCACAGACCCCCAAGCCCCAUUCCCGGCCUCCUGCUCUGUGGCUGCCAGAGGUUCCCCAGUGGGCAGGUAGAAAGUGGCACUUCUGGGUAUCUCCUUUUAGGGAAGGAACAGGGAGGAAGUUCAGCCAGAAAGCUCAAGCAUGUCUUCUCCCUUGAAUUCCCUUCCCACCGCCCCAUGGGUCAAACCUGGGCCCCCAAAUGGCCUCUUUUCCAGCUGUGUUGUCCUUGUUUAUAAUGAACAUAGGAGAUGUAUGGCCCUAAGGUGAAAUGUCAUCUGACGACUUCCUUUUAAGAAUUUAAACAGGCCUGGCGCACGCCUGUCAUCCCAGUGGCUUGGGAGGCUGAGGCAGGAGGAUCAUGAGUUCAAACUAGCCUCAGCAACUUAGCCAGGCCCUAAGCAACUCAGUGAAACCCUGUCUCUAAAUAAAACAUAAAAAGGGCUGAGGACACGGCUCGGCUCAGUGGUUAAGUGCCCCUGAGUUCAAUCCCCCAUACCCCCCCCCAAAAAAAAGAGAGAAUUUAAAAUGGCUUCCCCCUUGAAGAAAGGUCUGCGUGCUUCAUGCAAAAGUAACAGACAAAAAGAGCCGGGGCAGAAACAGGUAAGGGAAAAACAGACCCCUGCCCAGGCCACCUCCCACACAGGCUGCUGUGGCUCAGGACCCCUCCUUGAAGGUUGCUUCUCUACAUCUGUGAACACCUGUGGGCGUGCCCAGGUCCCUCUGGAAGCAGAUCAGGAGUGGAUGCAUUUAGUUCAGCGCUUGCUCCUCCGCCCCCGUCCAGGGCGCUGCUGCAGCAGUCCGCCUCUGGGUCAGCUGACUCACUCUUGCAAGCCUCUGCUGUUUUGCUCCAGAGCUCGGCUUCUAACAAGUCAGUACCUGUUCCUGGACCCUUUUCAAGAUUGAACUUGGGAUGGAUUUGGUUUUUUCACUUCAGGUAUGUUGACCUGGUUUGUCUCUUGAAUUUUUUCCCUUUGAAAAAAAAAAAUGUGUUUUAUCUUAGUGUGGUGGGUUUCUGGGAAUCCAUUACGCCAUCCCCUUUAUACCUUUGGUUAAAAAACUAAAUAUUUUAUGAUGGUGUUCCUUUUCUGCGGUGCCGGGGAUUGAACCCAGCACCUCGUGCAUACCAGGCAAAAUGCUCUGCCACUGAGCCACAGCCCAGACUGCUGCCAGGCAGACACAGAAUCAGUGUAACUUCCAGGGAAAUGAAAACCAGCCUAGAAAAGUCCACGCUCUCAGAAGCUCUCCAGAGUUUUCCCUGCACCAAUACUAGAUCAUUGAUACCACAAAUCUAUCACAUUCUCAGGUGAAAGUUCUGAUUUUUCCUGCCUACUUUUAAUGUGAUCAGUUGCUAAACAAACAUCAAAUUUGGAAUCAUUUAAGACUUCUGAAACCAAUAAUAUUGGCACUUUUAGUCUUUUUCCAACGUCAGGGCCAUUUUUAAGGUGUGGUUCUUAUUUGAAAGCAAAGCAGUUUUUAAACAUAACAGUGAAAUGCCCAAGAUAACACAAUCAGGCUGGGCACAGUGGCACACGCUGAUGUGAAGGCAGUCUG